rnacentral:misc_RNA from 1 species
CAGAGUUGCAAGACUCCCUAAACCAUUGUGAACCUACCUUCUACCGUUGCUUCGGCGGGCGGGCCCAGCGCCCCCCCGGCCCCCCGCGGGCGCCCGCCGGAGGAUACCCAAACUCUUGACAUUAGUGGCCUCUCUGAGUAUUCUUUACUGAAUAAGUCG